rnacentral:rRNA from 1 species
UACGUAGGGUGCAAGCGUUGUCCGGAAUUAUUGGGCGUAAAGAGCUCGUAGGCGGUCUGUCGCGUCGGCUGUGAAAACUCGGGGCUCAACUCCGAGCUUGCAGUCGAUACGGGCAGGCUAGAGUUCGGCAGGGGAGACUGGAAUUCCUGGUGUAGCGGUGAAAUGCGCAGAUAUCAGGAGGAACGCCGGUGGCGAAGGCGGGUCUCUGGGCCGAUACUGACGCUGAGGAGCGAAAGCGUGGGGAGCGAACAGG